AACGAACGCUGGCGGCAGGCCUAACACAUGCAAGUCGAGCGAAGCCUUCGGGCUUAGCGGCGGACGGGUGAGUAACGCGUGGGAACGUGCCCUUUGCUACGGAAUAGCCCCGGGAAACUGGGAGUAAUACCGUAUGUGCCCUUCGGGGGAAAGAUUUAUCGGCAAAGGAUCGGCCCGCGUUGGAUUAGGUAGUUGGUGGGGUAAUGGCCUACCAAGCCGACGAUCCAUAGCUGGUUUGAGAGGAUGAUCAGCCACACUGGGACUGAGACACGGCCCAGACUCCUACGGGAGGCAGCAGUGAGGAAUCUUAGACGAUGGGGGAAACCCUGAUCUAGCCAUGCCGCGUGAUCGAUGAAGGCCUUAGGGUUGUAAAGAUCUUUCAGUGGGGAAGAUAAUGACUGUACCCACAGAAGAAGCCCCGGCUAACUCCGUGCCAGCCGCCGCGGUAA
rnacentral:rRNA from 1 species